CAGCAGCCGCGGGAAUACAGAGGGUGCGAGCGUUAAUCGGAUUUACUGGGCGUAAAGCGUGCGUAGGCGGCUUCUUAAGUCGGAUGUGAAAUCCCUGAGCUUAACUUAGGAAUUGCAUUCGAUACUGGGAAGCUAGAGUAUGGGAGAGGAUGGUAGAAUUCCAGGUGUAGCGGUGAAAUGCGUAGAGAUCUGGAGGAAUACCGAUGGCGAAGGCAGCCAUCUGGCCUAAUACUGACGCUGAGGUACAAAAGCAUGGGGAGCAAACAGGAUUAGAUACCCCCGUAGUCCCUGUCUCUUAUAA
rnacentral:rRNA from 1 species